rnacentral:ncRNA from 1 species
GUGAGUGAAAUGCGGUGAAAGCCGCACGUUCCGUUCUUUGGGGAGGGAAUGAGUGUAAGGUGGUUCCCUUACCCGAC